rnacentral:rRNA from 1 species
GAUGAACGCUGGCGGCGUGCCUAAUACAUGCAAGUCGAGCGAACAGACGAGGAGCUUGCUCCUCUGACGUUAGCGGCGGACGGGUGAGUAACACGUGGAUAACCUACCUAUAAGACUGGGAUAACUUCGGGAAACCGGAGCUAAUACCGGAUAAUAUAUUGAACCGCAUGGUUCAAUAGUGAAAGACGGUUUUGCUGUCACUUAUAGAUGGAUCCGCGCCGCAUUAGCUAGUUGGUAAGGUAACGGCUUACCAAGGCAACGAUGCGUAGCCGACCUGAGAGGGUGAUCGGCCACACUGGAACUGAGACACGGUCCAGACUCCUACGGGAGGCAGCAGUAGGGAAUCUUCCGCAAUGGGCGAAAGCCUGACGGAGCAACGCCGCGUGAGUGAUGAAGGUCUUCGGAUCGUAAAACUCUGUUAUUAGGGAAGAACAGAUGUGUAAGUAACUAUGGACGUCUUGACGGUACCUAAUCAGAAAGCCACGGCUAACUACGUG